rnacentral:tRNA from 2 species
GUAGCUAUAGUUUAAUGGUAAAACAUUCGUAUGUGGAACGAAUUAUCUGAGUUCAAUUCUCAGUUGUUACC